UACAGAGGUCCCAAGCGUUGUUCGGAUUCAUUGGGCGUAAAGGGUGCGUAGGUGGCGCCGUAAGUGGGGUGUGAAAUUUCGGAGCUUAACUCCGAAACUGCAUUCCAUACUGCGGUGCUUGAGGACUGGAGAAGAGACUGGAAUUUACGGUGUAGCAGUGAAAUGCGUAGAGAUCGUAAGGAAGACCAGUGGCGAAGGCGGGUCUCUGGACAGUUCCUGACACUGAGGCACGAAGGCCAGGGGAGCAAACGGG
rnacentral:rRNA from 1 species